rnacentral:rRNA from 1 species
ACUCCUACGGGAGGCAGCAGUAGGGAAUCUUCCACAAUGGACGAAAGUCUGAUGGAGCAACGCCGCGUGAACGAUGAAGGCCUUCGGGUCGUAAAGUUCUGUUGUAAGGGAAGAACAAGUGCCGCAGGCAAUGGCGGCACCUUGACGGUACCUUGCGAGAAAGCCACGGCUAACUACGUGCCAGCAGCCGCGGUAAUACGUAGGUGGCAAGCGUUGUCCGGAAUUAUUGGGCGUAAAGCGCGCGCAGGCGGCCUCUUAAGUCUGAUGUGAAAGCCCCCGGCUCAACCGGGGGAGGGCCAUUGGAAACUGGGAGGCUUGAGUAUAGGAGAGAAGAGUGGGAAUUCCACGUGUAGCGGUGAAAUGCGUAGAGAUGU